CACGCCGUAAACGAUGACUACUAGGUGUCGGGCAGCAAAGCUGUUCGGUGCCGCAGCAAACGCAAUAAGUAGUCCACCUGGGGAGUACGUUCGCAAGAAUGAAACUCAAAGGAAUUGACG
rnacentral:rRNA from 1 species